CAGAGGUGCCGAGCGUUAGGCGGAAUCACUGGGCUUAAAGCGUGUGUAGGCGGAUUUGUAAGUACCUUGUGAAAUCCCACGGCUUAACCGUGGAACUGCUUGGUAUACUGCUUAUCUUGAGCCACUUAGGGGCAACCGGAACAAACGGUGGAGCGGUGAAAUGCGUAGAUAUCGUUUGGAACGCCAAUGGAGAAAUCAGGUUGCUGGGAGUGUGCUGACGCUGAGACACGAAAGCCAGGGGAGCGAACGGGAUUAGAUACCCCGGUAGUCCUGGCUGUAAACGAUGUCGACUAGAUUGCAGCGGCUCUGACGCCGUUGCGGUCGAAGCAAAAGUGCUAAGUCGACCGCCUGGGAAGUACGGUCGCAAGGCUA
rnacentral:rRNA from 1 species